UAGCAAGAUUUUUUUUGUUUAAUGUUUCUCGAAAUUUGGAGGGCUACCUUAUUGUUGAUGAGAAAUGUAGCAAAAUUUAUACAAAAAUUUUAAGGUAGAAAUCAAAUUUUAUUCGUGCCAAAUGAUAGCUAGUUUCAACAGAAAUAUAUAAAAGUAUAGAUACUUAGGUGUUUUAUUUAUUUUAUUGAAAAAUAAUAAUAAUUGAGCUAUUUGUUUAUAUAAGGCUAAGCUUGUAUAAUUAUAUAUAACAUGUCAUUUAUUUAUUCUAUAUUUAGGCUUGGAGUUAGCAAAAAUGGUGAAUUUGUUUUAAAUCAUUUAAAACUUAAAGAUUCUAUGUAUGUUAUUUAUGUUGACUAAUUAAAGAAAUAUUUUAUAGUGAUGUUUAUGCUAAAAUGAGUAUUAUAUUGAAAAUAAACCAAGUAAUUUUAAAUAGCUUGGAAAAAUAUCAUUAUUAUUAAGAAAUGAUUAAAAGGAACUCGGCAAAAUAGUAUUCCGCCUGUUUAGCAAAAACAUGUCUCUUUG
rnacentral:rRNA from 1 species